rnacentral:rRNA from 1 species
AUUGAACGCUGGCGGCAGGCCUAACACAUGCAAGUCGAGAGGAGCGGCGGACGGGUGAGUAAGGCCUAGGAAUCUGCCUGGUAGUGGGGGAUAACGUCCGGAAACGGGCGAUAUUCCCGCUACCUAUCAGUUGAGACUAGGUCGGAUGGGCUAGUUGGUGGGGUAAAGGCCUACCAAGGGGACGAUCCGUAACUGGGCUGGGAGGAUGAUCAGUCACACUGGAACUGAGACACGGUCCAGACUCCUACGGGAGGCAGCAGUGGGGAAUAUUUGACAAUGGGCGAAAGCCUGAUCCAGCCAUGCCGCGUGUGUGAAGAAGGUCUUCGGAUUGUAAAGCACUUUAAGUUGGGAGGCGUUACCAACAGAAUAAGCACCGGCUAACUUCGUGCCAGCAGCCGCGGUAAGUC